UACGAAGGGGGCUAGCGUUGCUCGGAAUCACUGGGCGUAAAGGGUGCGUAGGCGGGACUUUAAGUCAGGGGUGAAAUCCUGGAGCUCAACUCCAGAACUGCCUUUGAUACUGAGGAUCUUGAGUUCGGGAGAGGUGAGUGGAACUGCGAGUGUAGAGGUGAAAUUCGUAGAUAUUCGCAAGAACACCAGUGGCGAAGGCGGCUCACUGGCCCGAUACUGACGCUGAGGUGCGAAAGCGUGGGUAGCAAACAGG
rnacentral:rRNA from 1 species